UCCCCUUACAAUGUCGAGUAA
rnacentral:siRNA from 1 species